GAUGAAGAACGCAGCGAAAUGCGAUACGUAAUGUGAAUUGCAGAACUCAGUGAAUCAUCGAGUCUUUGAACGCACAUUGCGCCCCCUGGUAUUCCGGGGGGCAUGCCUGUCCGAGCGUCAUUGCUGCCCUCAAGCACGGCUUGUGUGUUGGGCCUCCGUCCUCCUCCCGGGGGACGGGCCCGAAAGGCAGCGGCGGCACCGCGUCCGGUCCUCGAGCGUAUGGGGCUUCGUCACCCGCUCUUGUAGGCCCGGCCGGCGCUUGCCGACACAUCAAUCUUUUUUCCAGGUUGACCUCGGAUCAGGUAGGGAUACCCGCUGAACUUAAGCAUAUCAAUAAGCGGAGGA
rnacentral:misc_RNA from 1 species